CUUCACCACAAAGUUGCUCAAAUCGAGCAACUAUGUGCUUCCCAUAUGUGUAUUUCUUCAAAGCAUGAAGAUGAACUCUUACGCGGUUGAGCAAUAUUUCCCGCUGUUUAUCAUUACUAAUUUCAAGGAUCUUUUGGACCACAUAAUUUGCAAAUUGGUCCUUCAUCAUUGUCAGCAAACAGUCAUUUCCCUCUGACUCUGCAAGAAUCUCCUCGAUCAAAUAAUCUCUCUCAGUAGAAUCACCAUAUUCCAGACACUUCUCAACAACGUUUGAGGCAUACUUGUGUUGGCUUAACUGUACAACAUUUCCGGUCAACUUUCCGAUAAUUCGACUUCUUUCAUGUGGUCUUCCCCUCUCCAGAACAUGCUGGGUGACAUAGUUCCCAUACUGAUCUUGAGCAAGAGGAUAAGCAGAUUCCAAGAUUUCAUGCACUAUACUUUGACUUUGAGAGUUUUCUGAACAAUGUUCCAAUAUUCUCUGGAUUACACGACAACCAUAAGGAUGAGUAGACAAUAUAGCUACUUGGCCUUGGAAUGAGGAGAUAAUGAAGUUAAUUUUUUCAGGAGGUAUGCACUCAAUGCAUUUUUGGAUUACAUGGUUCCCAUUUUGAUCUCGUACGCACUUCAUUACAUGCCCAUUGAGUUCAUGGACAAGUUCUGUUUUCUGAUCAAGGUCAAUAACUUCCAGGGCCUUUUGAAUAACACGACAACCAUACAUUUGCAAACUCAAAGGCAGCAUCUGUCCUGCUAAUUGACAUGCCAGCAUCUUUCUUUGCUCAUGACUUCCAUGCUCAAAGAACUUUUGAAUGACAUAGUUCCCAAAAACAUCUGUAAUUAGCUUUGAAGCAUGUGGAAGGAUUUCUUUGAAAACAGAUGCCUUUUCUUCAAUACUACAAUUUUCCAAUUUCUGCUGUAUGAACCGACUUCCAUGCUGAUCAACACUGAAUUCAACAACACGACCUGCAAUAUCAGAGAGGUCAAUUCUUCGAGCAUUGCUUUGUUUCAGUUCUUCGAGAAAUGAAUGUCUUUUAGAGUCAUUCAAGCUACCUGGACCCCUUUGUGCAGUCCAUCCAGAAUACAAUCCAUUAUUUCUACCUGAACCAGGGGAAGGUUUAAUUUCAUUCCUUCUUCCAAUAGGGGAUCCUGGCAGUACAGGACUACCAAGAGGUGAGGCUGGAAACUGUUGCGUGAAUCCCAGGCCCGAUGGACUCCCAAAAUAAUUAUUGCCAGGAAUUAUCAUUUUUCCAGGACUUGGUAAGUUCAGACUUCCAAUUGGUGGACGAAGAAAAUUCUGUUCAGCAAUAUAAGAAGGGAGAUUUGACUCCUUCUGUGAGGCAUAAGCAUCAACUUCAAGCCCGAAUACACCAGGCGAAGGAAACCGCAUAUGUUGACUAGGAGAAGUGUGUGAAUCAUCAACAGGAUGAGGAUGAUGAAAGUACUGCAUAUGAAAAGGAUCUGGGAAAGGAUGCACCAUUAACCCAUGAUGCCCAAAAAACUUGGUUAAAUGAUGCAGAUCACCAACUUGUGGAAUGUUUUCCCUUGGUGCAACAUUUUGACCACUGAUGCUUCGUCCAGAACUAGUAUUAAUAUGCAUAGACGGAUAUCCAGCUAAAAAUGGAGAAAGAGAAGGCGAACUCAACGCAUAUCCCCCCAUAUUGUAUUGAGGGGCAUAUCCACCAGAUGGACUCAAGUUAGAAUAGUACGGAUUACCAGAAGCCAUAUAGGCUGCAGCUGUUGCAUAUAGAGGAGGUGUGAGGCCAGAACCUUGAGGAGCUGCUUGUACUUCAACUGAAGAGGACCAGCUCUGACCAUAACCUUUUGCUAGGCUACUCUGCAGUGUAUUAGUCCCAAGUGUAUUUGCUUGAACUUGUGGGCCAUUAACUUGGUAAGUCGUGCUUCUCUGGGAGUGGUACUGCUGCUGUUGUUUCUGUUCUACUGCAUUCCUGCUGUGAAAAUACUGUUCAUCCUCGUUCUUACUAGCCUCUGGAGCCUGAACGUUCUUUAAAAUACCUGAUGCUAUCUCAUCACCGACUAAGAGUUCAUUCACCAGAUGUGCAUCAUUACCUGGUAAUUCACCUUUCUGAGGGGAAUGAGAUUUCCCAAGACUGUCAACACAAGAUUCUUUUUCAAGUGUAAUGGCCAAAGGCUGAUUAGAGGCAGCUAUAUCAUGGUCACCUAAGACAUCCGCACAAGCAUCUGCACCGUGUUUAUUUGAAAUAUCAAGGGAGAGACCGUCCAAUGUAAGAGAUUGCAUAUCAGAAUCAGUUGGUUCCUCCGCAGCAACAUGACCAGAGGACCGAGUUUGAUUGUAAACUGGUGAUGGAGUGCGAGGGAAGUCCUCCUGUAUUAGGUCAACCAAACUUUUAUGUUGACCUGCAAAGGAGGCCAAGUGCUGUCCUGAAGCACUCUGUGGUAAAUUUUCAUCUUCCGGCUCCUCAUCAUGAGUUGAGAGAGAACUUCUGGUCACAUGCAAGGAUCCAUCUUUACUAUUCUCAGAAGAGUUUAACUGGCAGCUAUCACCCAGAUCUGCAAAAUGGUGUGCCAGGUGUCUAUUCUCCCUAGAAAUAAUAGGAGGAGGAAGCCUAGGAUUCAAGUUGACAUUAGAGUUGUAGUAUGCAAAAUACGAGGGAUCAGCACGCAUCUGCUCUUCAGACUGCCAGUUCUGCAUGGCAUUGUCUAAGCUUGCCAAACUCAACUUCCGGCCGGAGCUUUGAUCAUAGACAAGGUUACCGUAGGCUGAAAAUGAGCCCUCCAUGCUUGGAGGCGCACUACCACUACGAUUUGGAACCUUAUUUCUAUUAUGGCCAUGAAUCUUAUGACCUUUAAGAAGCAAUCCCAGUUCAUCAGCUGCCACUUCAUUCAUAGGUGAUGCGAAGUUGACCGUGUCCUUGGCAGAAACCCACUUUCCUUUUCUACUGUCUUGGAAUAUUCUCAUAGGGCUCUCCGUUGCCAUGUUGCUCAAGAGUAAGCAAGCAUAUAGAGUUUUGAAAUCAACAAAGCCAAAGGUGGAGACAUUUCAACCGAAGCUUUUCAUCGACAUCACAUGAAGAGAUUCUAGAAACAAAAGAUACUAAGCUGUGGUGACUACAUAUAAUCUGGGGCAACUGCUCUAAUGAUA
rnacentral:misc_RNA from 1 species